AACGUAGGAGACAAACGUUAUCCGGAGUUACUGGGCGUAAAGGGCGUGUAGGCGGUUCGUUAAGUCUGGCGUGAAAGCUCUCGGCUAAACCGGGAGAGGUCGUUGGAUACUGGCGGACUAGAGGACGGUAGAGGCGUGUGGAAUUCCGGGUGUAGUGGUGAAAUGCGUAGAGAUCCGGAGGAACACCAGUGGCGAAGGCGACACGCUGGGCCGUACCUGACGCUAAAGCGCGACAGCAUGGGGAGCAAACAGG
rnacentral:rRNA from 1 species